CUCACUCAUAUUGACUUGCGUGGAACCAAGUUUUUGGUCUGAGGGUUACGCCACCUUCCUUCGCACACGCCAAACAGACAUCAAUAUGACGAGUACAGGACAGUUUUCAGUUACGAGUGACAAGGCGUCCACAAAGGCGUCUUCUACACAGACUACAUACUAUUAGACCUCCCACUCCUCUAGCACCGCUGGAAGCGCUCUUGCGGUCUGAGACACCUAGCUUUCAAUUUGGCGCCAUAUUCAAUUUUAUUUUAGACUUUUUAGAGUUAUGGGAUAAAAAAUAUACUGGCAAGGCAGUUGGAUAAAUAUGUAUUGAUAUUUUGUACACUAGUUACAUACAAUACACAUUGGAAAAUAUAAGUUAUAAUAAAUAAAAUCGUUA